rnacentral:misc_RNA from 1 species
GGCACACAAUAGAAGUCUUAUUUUCAUUCCCACGAGAAACUGUGACUCUCAGUCACCGACUACGCAGUUGCCAAAGCAAACCCUUUACUACAUUAUCAGCUAUUCAUAAACUAGUUAUUAAGCACACAUAGCAUGCUUGACAUAAAUUAGAACCAUUCGAUUGGGAUUAUAAUACAGAUACAAACACACCGAUUAAUAUACGACAUAUAUAGUAGCAAGAGAAGCAGCACUACUCCAUAUCCCUGACUUCAAACAUGUUACGGUUUUUGACGACGAUAUCGUACAUGUGCAAGGACUUGAAAUUGCUGAAAUCCUUAGGAAGCGAGAUGAGAUGAACUGUGGAUCUUUUGUGGAAUUGGAGGAGGUCAGGGUCAUCGUAGUACCUCUCCCACCCAAGAGAAGAGAGCUUGUUUUCAAGAACAGCAUAAGAAGUGAUAACUUCAUUAGUAGGAACGUGAACCAGCACUUUCCGGCGAACACCACUUGACCCUUGACCGCUUCCAUUUACAGACUCAGGUCCAGCUUGAUUAUCGACGAGCCGGACCACACCGUUCUUGAAAACCCAAACGCCAGACAUUUUCACCCAAAGCUUAAGGUUAAAGGUAGAAGAUCUAUGUAUAUCUGAAUUAAGCUUAUAAGC